CAGUGAAUAGUUUAAAUAAAAUAUUAAUUUUGGAGAUUAAAGAUGAGCCUUGCUUUUUACUGA
rnacentral:tRNA from 1 species